rnacentral:rRNA from 1 species
GAAUGCUGACAUAAGUAACGAUAAAGCGGGUGAAAAGCCCGCUCGCCGGAAGACCAAGGGUUCCUGUCCAACGUUAAUCGGGGCAGGGUGAGUCGACCCCUAAGGCGAGGCCGAAAGGCGUAGUCGAUGGGAAACGGGUUAAUAUUCCCGUACUUGGUGUUACUGCGAAGGGGGGACGGAGAAGGCUAUGUUGGCCGGGCGACGGUUGUCCCGGUUUAAGCGUGUAGGCUGGUUUUCCAGGCAAAUCCGGAAAAUCAAGGCUGAGGCGUGAUGACGAGGCACUACGGUGCUGAAGCAACAAAUGCCCUGCUUCCAGGAAAAGCCUCUAAGCAUCAGGUAACAUCAAAUCGUACCCCAAACCGACACAGGUGGUCAGGUAGAGAAUACCAAGGCGCUUGAGAGAACUCGGGUGAAGGAACUAGGCAAAAUGGUGCCGUAACUUCGGGAGAAGGCACGCUGACAC